CAGACUGUGUGAUUCCCUUUAUAUGAAAUGUGCAGAAUAGGCAAAUCCAUAGCGAUAGAAAGAAGAUUAGCGGUUGCUAG